GCGUUGGUGGUGGCGCUGCUGCUGUCCUUGGUGAUAGUUGGUAUAGCAGCAGCGCUUUACACAGUCGAGAUCGAACGAAACAAGACGAGCAGGUACCAUUAAUAUCACCAGCGUCGCUACCAUCCAGCCGUUUGCGGGCAUCCGCAAGAACGCCGAAGGUUCGAAAUAUACCAACCAUCUGCCAGCCAUCGCAGCAGCCCUCGCAAGAUGGCGCCUGCCUCAACAACAGACGCAGCUUGUGUUUGCGAGGAUCUUCCGAGUCACGGAUAUAUAGCAGUUCAAAUUGACCGACAUCUGUGUAAGUUCCUUUAUAAAAAGACCUGCACCGACCCUUCAGUUGUACGGGACUUUCGGUAGCCUGCUGCGGCCUGAAUGCCUCAUUACAAGCGACCAGAGUGGAGCUGAGUCCUCUUGUUUCUUCAGCUAUCGAAGGUGAUUGAUUUUGGUCGCGCCUGUGGAUCUCUAUGCGUCUACGCCAUAUCGGCUCGAGCGGGACAUAUCUUCGCAGCAACUAGCCUCUACUAGCAGCGUCUCCGAUAAGAUCUAGAAGAAGAAACACUGGGAGGUACUCUGAAGUAUCGAAUUAGAAAAUAAAAACAGCAGUACUGGCUAUUAUUAGCUUAAUGAUGGUACGACUUCUAAAACUACCACUAAUAGCACGAUAGUUUAUUUCAUCUGUUUCGUCCGCCGCCUUGCGGAUGUAGUGCGACUUACGGCGCUCCCUGUUGUCCUGAUUGCCGCAGUUGUUAUUGUGGACAGUUGUUCGCAGCUUUGUUAUGUUCAUGUUUCUUCUUGGGUUUCGGUCCUGCUCGCUCAGGUUCCAUAAUACGAAGCUAACAAACUAAUUGGUAACGCUGAAGCUUCCGUACUAAGGCCCGAAAUCUACCCGUACUGUGCUCAGUUACCGUUCAACUACGGCUCGUACAUCUAUCUUGAUAAUCGAUGGUACGUUUUUGACAUGGCAGCGAGACCUAUUAUAGUUGUAGUUACCGGUGAAAGAGGUCUGACAUGUAUCUAUACACUCGGCAGCUAGCCUACCUCUCUUCUCUAUUGUUCGUUAGCUUUGUCGCUUGAUCUACUUAGAACGGUAUAAUAACCGUUCACACAAUUGCACCGCAGCUUAAUUUAACAUUUAUUUUUCUAAACUAUUUUUCUGUUUCCAGCACGCUGAUUUCGCUGGUCGCACUUUGUUCACGCGCUUGGCCUGUUUCUGCCCGCGUUGGUUCCCUUACAUCUAAGAACGUCGCAUCCUAGUUUCAUUAACAUAUUUUCUAGUGUUAACAUCGCACUACGGUCUUCCGCGUAUGCUAUUACCGUUACUAUUGUUAUCAAUGACAUUGGCUUAAUCGUUGUCAGUAAUUUGUUUGCUUAUCUAACGCCACUAUAGAUAUAAAUAUCUAUAUGGAUAACGUAUAGGGAGUGAUAACAAGCAAGUUGACGUCACGUCGCAGGGUGUAGUAGCGCAUUACGCCGAGCAGCUGUUGCGUAUUCCAGCGGUAGUCCGCUGCGCAACCGCGGACUGGGUUCCUCGCGGCUUUUUCUGGCACGCCAGUGACGCCCCGCGCCCUUAAAUUUGGCGCUGCUGGCAGCGUUAGCGUUUUUUUACCUAUUUUGUCUUGAACAACUGCCCGCUUGGUGGUUCCUCUCGCACCUCGUUUGCAGUCUCUUCCAUCUUAUAGUUGUCUGUUGCGGUUUACCUCCCGGCCCUUCCUCCUCGCAAGCGUCCCCAGGGGUUUCGAUUUCCACUACCACGCACUUCGGCCGAUCUAAGCCAGAGCCAAAUGCUCCUGUCAACUCGUUGUCCGUGUGACCGCUUCCUUGUUGGUGUCUACCGAUCAUCAUUGCACACCAGACGACGGUACGAUAACGGCCAGACACUAAAUGACGAACGUUUCGUUUCUAUAUCUCCGUCACUGCGGGCGACAUCGUCGUCGUAAGCGAAAAACGAUGACGAAAUAAAGGAAAGAAGCGAUAACAACUCUAAAUAUCG
rnacentral:lncRNA from 1 species